rnacentral:tRNA from 1 species
CCUAAAAUGGCAGACAAAUGCGCAGGAUUUAAGCUCCUGCUAUGGAGAUCUUCUCCUUUUAGAA